UACGGGGGGGGGCAAGCGUUGUUCGGAAUUACUGGGCGUAAAGGGCUCGUAGGCGGGCAGGUAAGUCCGUGGUGAAAUCUCUGAGCUUAACUCAGAAACUGCCAUGGAUACUAUUUGUCUUGAAUAUUGUGGAGGUAAGCGGAAUAUGUCAUGUAGCGGUGAAAUGCUUAGAUAUGACAUAGAACACCAAUUGCGAAGGCAGCUUACUACACAGUUAUUGACGCUGAGGCACGAAAGCGUGGGGAUCAAACAGG
rnacentral:rRNA from 1 species